UCUCCGUUGGUGAGCCAGCGGAGGGAUCAUUACAGAGUUGCAAAACUCCCAAACCAUUGUGAACGUUACCUAUCCCGUUGCUUCGGCGGGCGGCCCGGGCCCCGCGCCCGGCGCCCCCCGGCCCCCCGUGGGCGCCCGCCGGAGGUAAACCAAACCCUUGAAUUGCAUGGCCUCUCUGAGUCUUCUGUACUGAAUAAGUCAAAACUUUCAACAACGGAUCUCUUGGUUCUG
rnacentral:misc_RNA from 1 species